UGGGGAAUAUUGGGCAAUGGGGGGAACCCUGACCCAGCAACGCCGCGUGAAGGAAGACGGUUUUCGGAUUGUAAACUUCUGUCCUUGGUGAAGCGGAAGAGACGGUAGCCAAGGAGGAAGCCCCGGCUAACUACGUGCCAGCAGCCGCGGUAAUACGUAGGGGGCAAGCGUUAUCCGGAUUUACUGGGUGUAAAGGGAGCGUAGACGGCACUGGAAGUCUGGAGUGAAAGCCCGGGGCUCAACCCCGGGACUGCUUUGGAAACUGGGGUGCUGGAGUGCAGGAGAGGUAAGUGGAAUUCCUAGUGUAGCGGUGAAAUGCGUAGAUAUUAGGAGGAACACCAGUGGCGAAGGCGGCUUACUGGACUGCAACUGACGCUGAGGCGCGAAAGUGUGGGGAGCAAACAGG
rnacentral:rRNA from 1 species